rnacentral:pre_miRNA from 9 species
UCUCGAUAGCGGGAAAGUUAACUCAAAUUUGUAUAGAGUCGGAACGAUUGCCUACAUUUGCCGCUAGGGGCGCUGUUCCAACUGCAUACAGAUUUGAGUUAAUUUUACGCUAUAGA